rnacentral:snRNA from 1 species
AACUUUGUGCAGUGGCAGUAUCGUAGCCAAUGAGGUUUAUCUGAGGCACGAUUAUUGCUAAUAGAAAAAAAAAACAUCAAACCCAAAUGUGGGGCAGUCUAUAAAACAGCCACCAAUAAUCCUGAAAACUGUCAAGGUUAUAAAAAAG